rnacentral:rRNA from 1 species
AUGGCGGGCAAGGACGAAGCUGGGAAGUGGAUGCUGAGGCCUUGCAGCGCCGCCAAGUCCACGGAGGCCGGCGACCAUGGUUCGGCCAAGUGUAUCUUGAGGCCUUGCAGCGCCGCCAGGCCCACGGAGACCGGCGGCCAUGGUACGGCGACGCGGUUCCCCUCCAAGAGGAAGGCAGCCGCCGGAUCCAGCUACAAGGAGGGCGGCGAUUCUUUCGAUUCAGACAAGGGGGAGGCUAAGAUGGACAAGAUGCUUGGGGAGGCGAAUCUGCCAUCCGCCGUCGCCAAUCAGCCGGCCGCAGCACCGCCAGGUCUGACCAAGGGCAAAGUCUGGUUGUCGAAAGCCGAGAUCAGGAGCAUAGUUGCCCUUAAGCCGGAGAAACUGCCCAGCGCCGAUUACCUGGACGAUCUGGCAGAGUAUUUUCCUCCGGAGUGGAUCGAGGAAAGGAAGCGCGCCCACGCUGACAAUGCAGAGCUUUUCAAGAAGAUGGACGACGAUUUCGAAGAGUACCGGCAGCAGGUCAUCACGUCUGUGCGGGACAAGGGCUACUUCGAGGUUGAUGAAGACUUCAUCGCUAACAGAAACAGAGCCAAUGAGUUGGUCUCGAACUACAGAGGCGGAUUCUCUCGCCUAUUCCCGCCAAGUAUUGUGCUACCCCGGAGGACAGUAUAA